rnacentral:rRNA from 1 species
UACGUAGGGUCCGAGCGUUGUCCGGAAUUAUUGGGCGUAAAGAGCUCGUAGGCGGUUUGUCGCGUCUGCUGUGAAAACUGGAGGCUCAACCUCCGGCCUGCAGUGGGUACGGGCAGACUAGAGUGCGGUAGGGGAGAUUGGAAUUCCUGGUGUAGCGGUGAAAUGCGCAGAUAUCAGGAGGAACACCGGUGGCGAAGGCAGCUCGCUGGGACGUUACUGACGCUGAGACGCGAAAGCGUGGGGAGCAAACAGG